UACAGAGGGUGCGAGCGUUGUUCGGAUUUAUUGGGCGUAAAGGGCGCGUAGGCGGCGGGGUAAGUCGGGUGUGAAAUCUCAGGGCUCAACCCUGAAACUGCACUUGAUACUGCUCUGCUUGAGGACUGGAGAGGAGACUGGAAUUCACGGUGUAGCAGUGAAAUGCGUAGAUAUCGUGAGGAAGACCAGUGGCGAAGGCGGGUCUCUGGACAGUUCCUGACGCUGAGGCGCGAAGGCCAGGGGAGCAAACGGG
rnacentral:rRNA from 1 species